rnacentral:rRNA from 1 species
AGAGUUUGAUCCUGGCUCAGGACGAACGCUGGCGGCGUGCCUAACACAUGCAAGUCGAGCGAUGAAGUCCCUUCGGGGACGGAUUAGCGGCGGACGGGUGAGUAACACGUGGGUAACCUGCCUCAAAGAGGGGGAUAGCCUCCCGAAAGGGAGAUUAAUACCGCAUAACAUUAGUUUUUCGCAUGGAGAACUAAUUAAAGGAGUAAUCCGCUUUGAGAUGGACCCGCGGCGCAUUAGCUAGUUGGUGAGGUAAAGGCUCACCAAGGCGACGAUGCGUAGCCGACCUGAGAGGGUGAUCGGCCACAUUGGAACUGAGACACGGUCCAGACUCCUACGGGAGGCAGCAGUGGGGAAUAUUGCACAAUGGGCGAAAGCCUGAUGCAGCAACGCCGCGUGAGUGAUGAAGGCCUUCGGGUUGUAAAGCUCUGUCUUUUGGGACGAUAAUGACGGUACCAAAGGAGGAAGCCACGGCUAACUACGUGCCAGCAGCCGCGGUAAUACGUAGGUGGCGAGCGUUGUCCGGAUUUACUGGGCGUAAAGGAUGCGUAGGCGGAUAUUUAAGUGAGAUGUGAAAUACCCGAGCUUAACUUGGGUGCUGCAUUUCAAACUGGGUAUCUAGAGUGUGGGAGAGGAGAAUGGAAUUCCUAGUGUAGCGGUGAAAUGCGUAGAGAUUAGGAAGAACACCAGUGGCGAAGGCGAUUCUCUGGACCAUAACUGACGCUGAGGCAUGAAAGCGUGGGUAGCAAACAGGAUUAGAUACCCUGGUAGUCCACGCCGUAAACGAUGAGUACUAGGUGUAGGAGGUAUCGACUCCUUCUGUGCCGCAGUUAACACAAUAAGUACUCCGCCUGGGAAGUACGAUCGCAAGAUUAAAACUUAAAGGAAUUGAUGG